AAAGACGGCGGACGGGGGAGUAACGCGUAGGCAACCUGCCCUUUGCAGAGGGAUAGCCUCGGGAAACCGGGAGUUAAAACCUCAUGACACCUCUUAAAGACAUCUUUGAGAGGUCAAAGAUUUAUCGGCAAAGGAUGGGCCUGCGUCUGAUUAGCUAGUUGGUGGGGUAACGGCCUACCAAGGCGACGAUCAGUAGCCGACCUGAGAGGGUGAUCGGCCACAUUGGAACUGAGACACGGUCCAA
rnacentral:rRNA from 1 species